rnacentral:rRNA from 1 species
AGAGUUUGAUCCUGGCUCAGGAUGAACGCUAGCUACAGGCUUAACACAUGCAAGUCGAGGGGCAGCAUGAACUUAGCUUGCUAAGUUUGAUGGCGACCGGCGCACGGGUGAGUAACACGUAUCCAACCUGCCGAUGACUCGGGGAUAGCCUUUCGAAAGAAAGAUUAAUACCCGAUGGCAUAGUUCUUCCGCAUGGUGGAACUAUUAAAGAAUUUCGGUCAUCGAUGGGGAUGCGUUCCAUUAGGUUGUUGGCGGGGUAACGGCCCACCAAGCCUUCGAUGGAUAGGGGUUCUGAGAGGAAGGUCCCCCACAUUGGAACUGAGACACGGUCCAAACUCCUACGGGAGGCAGCAGUGAGGAAUAUUGGUCAAUGGGCGAGAGCCUGAACCAGCCAAGUAGCGUGAAGGAUGACUGCCCUAUGGGUUGUAAACUUCUUUUAUAAAGGAAUAAAGUCGGGUAUGCAUACCCGUUUGCAUGUACUUUAUGAAUAAGGAUCGGCUAACUCCGUGCCAGCAGCCGCGGUAAUACGGAGGAUCCGAGCGUUAUCCGGAUUUAUUGGGUUUAAAGGGAGCGUAGAUGGAUGUUUAAGUCAGUUGUGAAAGUUUGCGGCUCAACCGUAAAAUUGCAGUUGAUACUGGAUAUCUUGAGUGCAGUUGAGGCAGGCGGAAUUCGUGGUGUAGCGGUGAAAUGCUUAGAUAUCACGAAGAACUCCGAUUGCGAAGGCAGCUUACUGGACUGUAACUGACGCUGAUGCUCGAAAGUGUGGGUAUCAAACAGGAUUAGAUACCCUGGUAGUCCACACAGUAAACGAUGAAUACUCGCUGUUUGCGAUAUACAGUAAGCGGCCAAGCGAAAGCGUUAAGUAUUCCACCUGGGGAGUACGCCGGCAACGGUGAAACUCAAAGGAAUUGACGGGGGCCC